CGAGAGAUCAAGCCACUGAGUAAAAAGGAGAAAAAAAAGAAGCUUCUUACCAGCCAAGAAAGGAAAAGAUAAAAAUGAGAUAGACGAGAUCGGGAUUCGGGAGUAGAUAAGGAGCUCCUUCCUCGCAGGAGGAAAAAGAAGGGGGAUGCAAGAAAACUUGGAGAUCCAGGAGAAGGAAGUGUAUGAACUAAAGAUUUGUACUGAAAGAUUCGAAGAUGAAGGAAGAAGAUCGAAACAAAUUUGGUGUUGAAUCGAGUUGGAUUUGGAGUCAGACUGCGUAUCGGCUGAAAAUAAGAUAUGAGCUGAUCAAGGUUGAUGUGACAUCCCGGCCUAGGGCUUAAUAGGAUUAAUAGAAUACUCAUAUCAACAAGUUGCAACUUCUUUUCCGGACAAUAGGAUUAAUGGAUUGUCGUCCCCUUUUUUUUACAAUGAUCCGGGGUUUAUAUUUAUACCCUGAGUACAAACUUAGUCCAUUAUGGACAUGACUUAAACUUUCCUAAAGAUAAAAUACAAACAAGCCCACAUGGCGGACUCUUGCCAUAUCUCUAACUCAAACUGACAUAAAUAUCCUAACUAAUAGAUACAAUUACCUUAAACGGGCUCAAUCUCUAAUUGGCAAUGAUGGUUAUCUCGAACUAGACCCAAACCGAGCCCAAGUCAUAUCGUAUCGUAUCGGCCACUUGCCAUAUUGGCUAAGUCAAAUUCCAUUCCAGCCGAUACGAUACCCAGCCGAUGCGCAGUCCGACUCUAAAUCCAACUCGAUCUUGUACCAAGUCCGUUUUGAUCUUAUUUCUUCUUCUCCGAGUCUGAUGAGGACAUCAACACCAUCGAUACAUCCACGUCUCCACAAGUUCAACUUCAAGGAGUAAUGGAGAGGAUCCAAAGGGGAGAGGAUUCAUACGGGCUGGAUUCGGACUGCAGGACAGCACCAACUUCUGACGACCUCCACGGCUUCAUACGAACUCCGAUUUGGGUAUGUAAAUACUUCAUGAAAAGCUUAUCAAGUCUACUUUCAAAUAAAUCUAGCCUCACAUCUGUAUCUAUUCUGGAGAGGCCACAAUCGUCGUUUUACUACAGAGACCUUUUUCUGUCCAUGGUGUUGUGUCACCUUAUUUGGGCCCAAUGUGCCAUGUAUCCAAUUGAGUCCGUUUGGGACGCGUCUAGGGUUAGAGGAUGACCUGAACUCGUCCUCCCACCUAUAUAUCUUCCUUAGCCACCAUAGAACAAUUUGGGUUUUGUUCAGAUCUAGUUUAGUUUCAUUACUUGCCGAGUAAUUCCGUGAUCGAUUAGAUCGCCAUUCUGCUUGUUAUGGAACCCCACCUAUGAUACUUUUGGUUGAUUCAAUCCUACAUCUUUAUUUGCAAAUUGAGUUACUUGUUCAUCUUGUUCUUGCUAGUUCUCGAUUGCUUGUAGGAACAAAUACCCUCGUGGUUGGGCUGACCGUGCAUCCGUCAAGAUUCACGAUCGCCUCUAGAGUCAUGCAACGAUUGCUAACGCGCAACAUCCCUGGAUAGUUGUAGUCGGAUCGCCAACGUCGCUCCAUCAAUCGACUUAUCCUCUCAUCGAAAGAUCGGGACACCCUCAUGCACAUAAGGUGGUAUCAUAGCUUUUAGGUCGCUUGGUGAGAGAUUUAUUGUUUCACAAUUUUUUUCCUACAGUCCAGAAAAGCCAAAAAAAUAAAAUAAAAAAAGUCGCAUAUCUCUCCUCAGCACUAGAGACAGAAAGCAAAAAAAAAAAAGCAAGAAGAUCCGACUUGUGUGAGCACCUCUCGCCAUUCCCUGUUGUCACCACCUUCCUAUCAUCGCUCCUGUUUGGGUUUGUAUAUUAUGGCGUUCUUUGUGGUUAGGCUCGUGUCUCUACUUCGGCUAGCCUAGGACCAGCACUGUACCAACCUUGAAUGAUUAUUCAACUUGCUUUUGUCUAAUGCGGUUUCUAGUUUUUCUUUGUCUCAUACACAGCCUACCCAUAGCUCCACCGGUUCGACUAACACUUGACAGGGAUUAAGCGACCAAGGCAUCAAUACACCUUUCUCCAGAGGUUCGUCCAGUCCGACGGUUGCCGGCACCUCCUAUUUAGUGCGGUGAGAAUCGGGAGCUUGUUGAACAUGUUGAGAGUGAGUGACUUGAUACAACCACGUCCAAGUAGUUUUGUACAUUUUAUUUUUUUUCCUUUUGUCAUAUAGUAUUUGUUUUAUCUGUUUCUUUUAUCUAACCAUGUCAGGUGAAGAUUCCCACUCACCCCAAACAAGAGGGGUCUGAUGCAAAAUUAUAUUGUUACAGUGGGCCUUGGGCCCCUAGCUACGCCACCCUAGGGUUAUCCUUUUAUUUUUAAGGACAUUCUGAGUAUGCUAUCUAUUAUAUUA